AUUGAACGCUGGCGGCAGGCCUAACACAUGCAAGUCGAAUGGUAACAGGAAACAGCUUGCUGUUUCGCUGACGAGUGGCGGACGGGUGAGGAAUGUCUGGGAAACUGCCUGAUGGAGGGGGAUAACUACUGGAAACGGUAGCUAAUACAGCAUAACGUCGCAAGACCAAAGAGGGGGACCUUCUGGCCUCUUGCCAUCAGAUGUGCCCAGAUGGGAUUAGCUAGUAGGUGGGGUAACGGCUCACCCAGGCGACGAUCCCUAGCUGGUCUGAGAGGAUGACCAGCCACACUGGAACUGAGACACGGUCCAGACUCCUACGGGAGGCAGCAGUGGGGAAUAUUGCACAAUGGGCGCAAGCCUGAUGCAGCCAUGCCGCGUGUAUGAAGAAGGCCUUCGGGUUGUAAAGUACUUUCAGCGGGGAGGAAGGGAGUAAAGUUAAUACCUUUGCUCAUUGACGUUACCCGCAGAAGAAGCACCGGCUAACUCCGUG
rnacentral:rRNA from 1 species